rnacentral:lncRNA from 1 species
UCAUAAUUUUCUUUUAAUUUGUGCAUAUGCCCUUGUCUAGCAUUCAAAAUCUUUGCUUCAAAUCUUAUUACAUAUUUAUUCUUUUGUUCAUCAUCUUAUCAAACCAUCCAACCUAUUCUAAUUGGAUUAAUAUUAAUCAUCAAUAUUAUGAGCCUCUCUGAAUCAUAAUUAAUCUUUCUCAAAGUUGGUGGUGAAGAAAGAAGUUUCUUCAACUUUUUCAUUGCUUUACUUUACUCAAUGUUCUAUUGAUAUUUAAACCUCUUCCUUAAGAAUCAAUAUAAUGGUUCCACUAUAUGUGCAAAAUGUGGAAUUUAAAUGUAGUAAAAAAUACGUGAUCCCAAAAACCUUCAAACCUUUAAUAUAUUUGAAUAUUCUUUCAUCUUUUGAAUUAUAUUUAUUUUUUCUAUUGAUGGCUUGCAUCUAUACGGUCCAUAUACAUGUCC